rnacentral:rRNA from 1 species
UGUCUCAGUUCGGAUUGGAGUCUGCAACCCGACUCCAUGAAGCUGGAUUCGCUAGUAAUCGCGCAUCAGCCACGGCGCGGUGAAUACGUUCCCGGGCCUUGUACACACCGCCCGUCAAGCCAUGGAAGCCGGGGGUGCCUGAAGUGCGCUGCCGCAAGGAGCGCCCUAGGGCAAAACUGGUGACUGGGGCUAAGUCGUAACAAGGUAAC